AGUGAACGCUGGCGGUAGGCCUAACACAUGCAAGUCGAACGGCAGCACAGUAAGAGCUUGCUCUUACGGGUGGCGAGUGGCGGACGGGUGAGGAAUACAUCGGAAUCUACUUUUUCGUGGGGGAUAACGUAGGGAAACUUACGCUAAUACCGCAUACGACCUACGGGUGAAAGCAGGGGAUCUUCGGACCUUGCGCGAUUGAAUGAGCCGAUGUCGGAUUAGCUAGUUGGCGGGGUAAAGGCCCACCAAGGCGACGAUCCGUAGCCGGUCUGAGAGGAUGAUCAGCCCCACUGGAACUGAGACACGGUCCAGACUCCUACGGGAGGCAGCAGGGGGGAAUAUUGGACAAUGGGCGAAAGCCUGACCCAGCCAUCCCGCGUGGGUGAAGAAGGCCUUCGGUUUGUAAAGCCCUUUUGUUGGGAAAAAAAAGCAGCGGGUUAAUCCCCGCCUGUUCUGAGGGUACCCAAAAAAAAAGCACCGGCUAACUUCGUG
rnacentral:rRNA from 1 species